rnacentral:snoRNA from 1 species
UAGACCAAUGAUGAUAGCAUGCCAUAAACCAAAGAAUAUGAAUAAUCCAAUUCUCUGUAGCCCAGGUCCAUU